GUGACAAUGUCGGGGCUGUCACAGCAUCUGUCCAGCCACUGAUUGACCUCUUGAGGGGAAGGAGCAAGCUGAUGCAUUGGAUAGAUGUGCUUAUAUUAAAUGCAGCAUUUUCUGGGGUUCCUGAAAACAUCUUGUUGCAUUUUCUCAGGUGGCAUCAAAGGCUCCAUUUACUACACCUCUGAUAGACCAUGGGAAGAUUCCAGGGAGUCCACACGGCAAAAUGAAACACAGCAAGGAGAGCUCGUCACAGGCGAGUGAAGAAAUAAGUGCUUACCAAGUGGCAGCAGACCUGGAGGCAAAAAUAAAGCAGCACAUACAACAGGUGCAUGCACAUAGGAGCUUCCAGAGCAUACCGGCGCUGCACGAGAUGAAGACAGCAACCCAGGACUUGGACAUUGCAAAGAAGCUGCAAGAUGAAGUAAUGAAACUGAAAUUGGAAUUGAACAAAGACAAUCCAUUUGCAAAUCUCACAGGAAGUCUUUCACUUCACCUACCACCAACACAACCUCAAAACAUAUUUUUUAACACGAAAUAUUAAGAAGAUGUUUGUGGUAUCGGUGUCAAGGUCCUUCAAGCAUGAGGAAGCGGCUCACUGCUUGUGUGGUGGUGGGGACUAGGGUUAGGACAUUCAGUGUUUCUAUGACUUACUUCACAGGCAGCCCUUUGUUGUUUUUAUGUAAACCUGCAUUCCUUUUCUGGGGCUGUGAAAGUUUUAAGCUGCAUUAAAAGAAUGAGAAUAUUGCAGGCGCACCACACUGUUUUCAUUUCUGUCACCAUCCUUUUCUGCCAGUCCUGCUGGUGGAGGGUCAUUUGAAAGUCAAAACCAGUCCCUCUCUUUCCUCCCUACCCCAUGCGACCCUAGUCACAAAUAUAAUCAUAGUUUUCAUUAACCUAUUCAUUUUAGGGUAGGAAUCUAGUUUGUCUGAUUUCUUGCCGCAGUUGUCCACGGUGUUUGCCCUGGCACUUGACCCUGCAACAGCACAGUGAAUUCAGCCCAGGCAGCCUCCGGCCUGCACGGCCCAGACCCUCCCCUGGCCGAGCAGGCCUGUAUGAACCUCCUUCCCGUCCAGGCUGUUCUGGGGCUGUGCAGCCUCGGUCCUUGGGCUGAAUGUUAAAUAAGAGUAUUAAAGAAGGGCUCUGUCCUGAACACACCUUUAACAGAUACAGGGCUUUUCAGACUUUCUUUCCUUUUGUGUCAACUUUAAGAAAUUCUUUUUCAAAGAUUUUUUUCCAUUUCAUUGAAACUGUGAAAUACGUAUUAGCAUAAAGUUCUUUAUAAAAUUCUCCAUUAUCAGUCUUGCUAGGGAUUUAUCCAUAUUUUUUAGUCAUUUUUAAAAAUAGCAAUUUUUGGCUUCAUUGAAUUUAUCAUGUAUAUUUUCUAUUUCACUGAUUUCUCUCUUUACAUUUCCUUCUUUCUUACAGUUUAUUUGGUGCCUAGAGAGAAACUUAUCCUUUUAAGCCCAUGUGUAUGAUCAGUGCUCUAAACUCCCAAUUCAGGAAGCUAGAAAAUACAUUAGUCCAAAACUUUAUCAGCUAGAACACCACAUAUUUCUCACCCGGUAUUUGAGGGUCACACAUUGGGAGCAGCUUAGUUGCUGCCGCUGCUUGGGAUCUUUUGAGAACUGAAGCCAAGCUGCCAGUCGGGCUGUGCUUACUGAAGGCCCAGCUGGGGCAGAGGCCCUGAGUCUGUGUCCCUGGGCUGGGUAUUGAUGAGAGAACACUUCCUCUGUGAUCCCAGUCCUUUGAAAUCUGUGAGGGCUUAUAUUACAGCUUGCUUGUUGUAUGAUGUAUUUAGUGAAUGUUCCAUGUGCAUCCAAGGAGAAUGUAUUUUUGUCAUUUGCAGUGAUGGUCUGUAAAUGUCAAGUGAAGGUGACAAAUUAUAUUGCUCAGAUCUCCUGUAUUCUUAACGAUAUAAGUUGUUUUUUAGUAUUUCUUUGUACUAUCUUUAUUGUUCAAAUGGCAAUUAGUUCACGUAGCUUUUUUUAUAUCUGAAAAUAAAUUUAGUUUGCCUUUAUUUCUGCUUAGAAUUCCAGAUUAACAGUUUUUGUCACCUCCAAAGUUUUAAAAAUCAUAUUCCAC
rnacentral:lncRNA from 1 species